UCCUACGGGGCGCAGCAGUAGGGAAUCUUCCACAAUGGACGAAAGUCUGAUGGAGCAACGCCGCGUGAGUGAAGAAGGGUUUCGGAUUGUAAACUGUUGUCGCAGGGGAAGAAGACAGUGACGGUACCCUGUGAGAAAGUCACGGCUAACUACGUGCCAGCAGCCGCGGUAAUACGUAGGUGACAAGCGUUGUCCGGAUUUACUGGGUGUAAAGGGCGCGUAGGCGGAUGUGCAAGUCAGUCGUGAAAUACCGGGGCUCAACCCCGGGGCUGCGAUUAAAACUGCACACCUUGAGUAUCGGAGAG
rnacentral:rRNA from 1 species